rnacentral:rRNA from 1 species
ACGUACGUACGAGUUAGGGUACGUACUACUGGGCUCAGGGAUGAACGCUGGCGGCGUGCCUAACACAUGCAAGUCGAACGAGAGAGAUUGGUGCUUGCACCGAUCAAUCGAGUGGCGGACGGGUGAGUAACGCGUGGGUAACCUGCCUCAUACAGGGGGAUAACAACUGGAAACGGUUGAUAAUACCGCAUAAGCGCACGGUAUCGCAUGAUACAGUGUGAAAAACUCCGGUGGUAUGAGAUGGACCCGCGUCUGAUUAGCUAGUUGGCGGGGUAACGGCCCACCAAGGCGACGAUCAGUAGCCGGCCUGAGAGGGUGAACGGCCACAUUGGGACUGAGACACGGCCCAAACUCCUACGGGAGGCAGCAGUGGGGAAUAUUGCACAAUGGGGGAAACCCUGAUGCCAGCGACGCCGCGUGAGCGAAGAAGUAUUUCGGUAUGUAAAGCUCUAUCAGCAGGGAAGAAAAUGACGGUACCUGACUAAGAAGCCCCGGCUAACUACGUGCCAGCAGCGGC